AGUGAACGCUGGCGGUAGGCCUAACACAUGCAAGUCGAACGGCAGCACUGGAGAGCUUGCCUUCUGGGUGGCGAGUGGCGGACGGGUGAGGAAUACAUCGGAAUCUACUUUUUCGUGGGGGAUAACGUAGGGAAACUUAUGCUAAUACCGCAUACGACCUACGGGUGAAAGCAGGGGAUCUUCGGACCUUGCGCGAUUGAAUGAGCCGAUGUCGGAUUAGCUAGUUGGCGGGGUAAAGGCCCACCAAGGAGCCGAUCCGUAGAGGGUUUGCGGUGAUGAGCAGCAACAGUGAAGCUGGGACAGGGUCCAGACUCCUACGGGGGGAAGCAGUGGGGAAUAUUGCACAAUGGGCGCAAGCCUGAUCCAGCCAUACCGCGUGGGUGAAGAAGGCCUUCGGGUUGUACAGCCCUUUUGUUGGGAAAGAAAUCCAGCUGGUUAAUACCCGGUUGGGAUGACGGUACCCAAAGAAUAAGCACCGGCUAACUUCGUGCCAGCCGCCGCCGUAA
rnacentral:rRNA from 1 species